rnacentral:rRNA from 1 species
UGGGGAAUAUUGGACAAUGGGCGAAAGCCUGACCCAGCAACGCCGCGUGAAGGAUGAAGUCUCUCGGGAUGUAAACUUCGUAAGAAUAGGAAGAAUAAAUGACGGUACUAUUUGUAAGGUCCGGCUAACUACGUGCCAGCAGCCGCGGUAAUACGUAGGGACCAAGCGUUGUUCGGAUUUACUGGGCGUAAAGGGCGCGUAGGCGGCGUGGUAAGUCACUUGUGAAAUCUCCGAGCUUAACUCGGAACGGUCAAGUGAUACUGCUGUGCUAGAGUACAGAAGGGGCAAUCGGAAUUCUUGGUGUAGCGGUGAAAUGCGUAGAUAUCAAGAGGAACACCUGAGGUGAAGACGGGUUGCUGGGCUGAUACUGACGCUGAGGUGCGAAAGCGUGGGGAGCAAACAGGAUUAGAUACCCUCGUAGUCCCUGAGCGGGCUGGCAAGGCGCAU